rnacentral:tRNA from 1 species
GCCAUUCUAGCUCAAUGGAAGAGCAGCGGUUUCGUAAACCGUCGAUGGUAGUUCGAUUCUACCGAAUGGCU